rnacentral:rRNA from 1 species
UACGGGGGGAGCAAGCGUUGUUCGGAUUUACUGGGCGUAAAGGGCGCGUAGGCGGCGUGACAAGUCACUUGUGAAAUCUCCGGGCUUAACCCGGAGCGGCCAAGUGAUACUGUCGUGCUAGAGUGCGGAAGGGGCUACUGGAAUUCUCGGUGUAGCGGUGAAAUGCGUAGAUAUCGAGAGGAACACCUGCGGCGAAGGCGGGUAGCUGGGCCGACACUGACGCUGAGGCGCGAAAGCGUGGGGAGCGAUCCGG